GGGGGGGGGGGGGGGAAUAUUAAGAUGGAAGAGAGGAAAUAGUUGCAGAAGAGAGUUUAGAGAGAGAGAGAGUUACAAAGUAAAAGAGAUGGGAAAUUAGAGAAGGGGGAGAGAGAUGGGCAGAGAGACAAAGUUGGAGGAGUUGUUGGAGAUAAGUGAUUUGUUUAAGCAAGUAAAUAGGCUAAUACAUGUAGUUGCGGUUGUUGUGUAAAAUUUCUCAGGCUGACUUGCCUUAACUUUUUUUGAAAACGUUUAGCUCAGCUUAGAUGUUUUGAAUUUCUUGAUUUGCUCAUGCUAAACUUCUUUUGACAAAUGUUUAACUCAAGGUAGGAGCUGGAAAUUUAUAUUUUAUUUGAUGAAAUAAAAUGCAAAAGUAGAAAUUUAAUCCGGGAUGGAAGUAGUACUUUUUAAGUUUAAUCUUUUAAGCCUUUUAAUUAAAAAGAAGGUAUAGUAAGUGGACAGGACGUACAUGUAUUAGGUAAUAUGAACACUUAACAUGAGUCAUUUUACUUUCAAAUUGGUCAAGAGGAAAUAGAGAAACUGGUAAAACCACGAGAAAAGAAAAAAUAAAAUAAAUUAAAGAAUCAUAGCAUAUUUGGCCAAGCUAUAAAAAUCAGCUUAUAUUGAGAAAUGUUUUUUUUCUCAGAAGUGCUUUUCUCAAAGUACUUUUGGUGAGAAGCAGUUUGUGUUUGGCUAAUAAAUUUGAAAAACGUUUCUGAGCAGCUAUUAGUGUUUAGCCAAACUUUUAAAGACUGUUUCUAAGGCCUCA
rnacentral:lncRNA from 1 species